rnacentral:lncRNA from 1 species
AGGCCAGGGGACGGUGAGAACUGAGAGCCACCUCACACCAUUGGGUCUCCUCCCUACAGUCCUUUUACUCUCCCCUGCCCGAAAUCAGACUGCCGCCUCCCCCAGGGCCUGGGCAGUUUCGAACUGGGGAUGCCCGCAGCUUGUUCUGGAAACCAGGAUGUUCUAGUUCUUGGUGCGUGUUGAGGAGAGAACGCGACCAGGACAGAGGUAGGACUCCCCUUUCUUGCAGGCUGAGGAGCAGAAGCUUACAGAGCUGCCAACACUCGCCCCUCAGUGCACAGACCUGCUUGACUUCCUCACCACCCUUUCUCUGCCAGCAUCCAGCUGCGCUGCUCUUCCCUGCUGGUGGCCCGGGGACGGAGGAAGACUAACGCAAGAAAAUAAAAUGCUGCUGUGAGAAGAUACUGCAGGAGUGGAUUUGAAAGCUGAUGGAAGAAGAUUGUAAACAGAAUUCUACCUCUUCGCCAACACUGUGACCAGCACCCCAGGAUCCACUUAUUGGGAACAGGUUCCUGGGUGAAGAAGGUGCCUUGCUUCCCCUUCACCUUCCACCAUGAUUGUAAGUUUCCUGAGGCCUCCCUAGCCAUGCUGAACUAAACACCAGAGGCUUUCGCACAAUCCCUUUUUCCUGAAGCCAACUCUGCUGAGGAUGUGAUGUGGAUACGGGUUGUGACCCAAAUGUCCCUUCCUCAAGGACGGUCCUGGGCAGAGCCGGCCCCCCCUCUGCCACCCUACUGCUCUGUCCCAGCACCAUCUUUCAGAGGUCGUCAUCAGCACUUGUGAAUGCACAUUUGCCUCAUGCUCACGUGUUUAUUGUCCGUCUCCUACACCCGCACCCCCAGUCACAGUGUUUACUUCAUUCUCUAGGGUCUUCCUAGUGCUUGGCAUAGACCUGCACGGAAUAGACAUGAAUUAAGUAAAUAUUUGUUCACUAACUGGGAAGCACUUUAUAUAUACUCUUGUAUUUGAUGAUCACAGCCAUCCUGUAAAAUGAGUAUUAUUU